UACGUAGGGUGCAAGCGUUAAUCGGAAUUACUGGGCGUAAAGCGUGCGCAGGCGGUUUUGUAAGACAGAGGUGAAAUCCCCGGGCUUAACCUGGGAACUGCGUUUGAAACUGGAAGGCUAGAGUGUGGCAGAGGGGGGUGGAAUUCCACGUGUAGCAGUGAAAUGCGUAGAUAUGUGGAGGAACACCGAUGGCGAAGGCAGCCCCCUGGGCUAACACUGACGCUCAUGCACGAAAGCGUGGGGAGCAAACAGG
rnacentral:rRNA from 1 species